CGCUAACUUCUGUUUAUAAUGUGGUAGUAAUUACUAGGGCAGGCUAGGGACAGCAAGCCAGUAGUUAAUAUUAGGCUCUUUUUGCCGAGGGAUCAGGUUAAAGGUAGGCUAAGAAAGUCGCAUAACAAUUAAUUAAUGAAACUAAUAUUCAAGAGGAGUAGAUAAGAGAGGGCGGAUUAGAUGAAAUUAUAGACCCCCA
rnacentral:lncRNA from 1 species